AGAUCAGGUGGAACUACACCUGCUGACGUCACAUUGGCUAUUUAAGUAGUCAGAAAGCUUCAGAAGACACUGCUUGAAGCCUCAACAUGAAGUUCACCAUGACCAUGCUGGUGACCUUGCUGGCUUUGCUGCUGUCCAGUCUGGUGAGGAGCGCUCUGUGUUCAAACUCUUCAAGCCAAUGCUGUACUGCCAGUCAAAGGUGCACACCGUGGCACCCGCACAACGGAACGUCACUGAAGCUACCGAAGGUUCUCGUCCAAACUGCUGAUCUUGGGAAAAUCGCACAGGCCCGCUGGAAUUACACAAUGGACAGUAACGAAGACAGGACACCACAACACAUCCAGAAUGCUACCUGCUUGCGUUGUGUGGACGAGGGGCUGAAGGCAGUGCCGAUUCAGUAUGAGAUUGAUUUAAUUCACAGAAUAAAAUGUGGAGUUAAAAAGAUUACUUGUAAGUGUCCUUGCAGGGUUAAUGUAGGCUGCACCUGUGUGAGAGAAUAACUCUGUGUGAAAGAGAAGAACUGGCGAAGUAUUUCUGCUAGGUAUCUUGCUGCUUCCUGAGUAGAGUGUAUAGGCCUAUGUAUUGUUUGCAUCCCAAAUGAUUCCCUAUUCCCUAUAUAGUGCACUGCAG
rnacentral:lncRNA from 1 species